GCUUGUGAAGUGAAUUAAAUCUACUUAUUUAAUUUAUACAUGAAUAAUGAGCAUAAGCCAAUAUUUGAUUGCAAACACGCGAUUAAAUAGUAGAUGCACUGAGUAACCAAGACACAAAGAUUUAUUAUUAUUUACAAUUAGAACUUCAACCACCACUAUCAAUCAAUGCAGUAAUUGAUUUUUUUUCUGAGUACAAGAAGAAAUCUUUGCAUAUAAGCUCACCACUGGCAGCAAGAGUGACGCAGUACAUUUGGGUAAAAAAAUAAAACUCUCGAAUUUGCUGGCUUUAGGAGGAAGAUCAUGCUUAAGACAAUCAUCUUCCACUAUCUAAUUAUUUAUCAACCACUACCUCCACUUAACAAAAAUGAGACCUACGCACUAGCCUGCACCACCACCCUUUUUCUCCACCAAACUUUCCACUUACUUCAUUCCUUCUCUCAUACACCAAGCACCAGAAAGGGAGAUGAAGUUCCUGCUGCCAACUGCCAAGUAUCGAGAGUUUCUUCUCCAUUGAAUUCAUUAUCAACAACAGCAGCUACCAACACAAAAUACUCAAGGUCAAGCGCGAGAGUAAGAACUACACAAGGAGUUAGAGUACCUUAGCAAAACUUUGCUAUCAGGUUGAGCUGUGAUGGGCGAUGAAGUGUUGUUGCUGAGUAGAGUUUUUGUCGAAUUUAAAGUAGGCUCAGAAAGGAUACAUGUCUUCAUACAUGUAUCUCAGUUAUGCAUUCCGCUGUAAACACUGAUUAUUUCAGUUACACCUUCCGUUGCAAACUCUGAUAAUGUUUUAGCCAAGCCCCUAAAAAUGCCUUUUUCCUUUUAAGGAAUAUAACGCGUAUACAAGUUCUUUGA